rnacentral:piRNA from 1 species
UGAGACACUGCUUAUAUAGAUUUGAGCACA